UUGAUUUCUUAGGAAGCUUCCAAAUCCGGCGGAUCAUUUUUCUUUAUCGAUAUCUUUAACUCCACAAACGUUCUCUGCCGGAGAAACGACUCCUCUUCCUGUAACGCCUUCUCCACCCUCCCAUAUAUAGAGGUCGUCUAUGGUGCUCCAGCCGCAAGUGCCGCCCUCGCCUACUCCACUUUCGACUCAUCCGCUUUUGGAGAGUAUAUGGGGACAAAGGAGUCCUGCUUCCUAACGUCACGAGCAAGAUCUUUGGUAAGGUGUUCAGUACUGCAAAAAGCACGUCGAGGCUGCUGCUUCCAAGAGCGAGGCCAUCGGGCUAUCCUCUUCAAACUCAUCCUAGCUGCUAAUUAUUUGAACAUCAAAAAUCUGUUUGACCUUACAUGCCAGACAGUGGCUGAUAUGAUAAAAGGAGAAGAGAUUCGUACCGGACCUUCAACAUCAAUAACGACUUUACACCUGAGGAGGAAGAGGAGGUGUGUAGGGAGAACCAAUAGGCUUUUGAAUGAUGUGUGAGAGAUGUCGUUGAAGCAAAUUAACCAGUUUAUUGCUUUAUGUUGUUUCCUUUUUCUGUGUGUCUGAUCAGUGUGGAUGAUGUCUUGGAGUCUCUUUUUUUUUUCUAUAUUCAUGACUAUGUUCGACCUCCACGUGCUUUUAUUUUACCAUUAUGAACCAAUGGUGGG